rnacentral:tRNA from 1 species
GCAUGCCGCGUUCUGGCCCAGCCUGGACGUUGUGGCGGCAGAGAUGCGUUCGCGCAGCAUCAGCGACGUGA